rnacentral:rRNA from 1 species
GAUGAACGCUGGCGGCGUGCCUAAUACAUGCAAGUCGAACGCGCAGCGAAAGGUGCUUGCACCUUUCAAGCGAGUGGCGAACGGGUGAGUAACACGUGGAUAACCUGCCUCAAGGCUGGGGAUAACAUUUGGAAACAGAUGCUAAUACCGAAUAAAACUUAGUAUCGCAUGAUACAAAGUUGAAAGGCGCUACGGCGUCACCUAGAGAUGGGUCCGCGGUGCAUUAGUUAGUUGGUGGGGUAAAGGCCUACCAAGACAAUGAUGCAUAGCCGAGUUGAGAGACUGAUAGGCCACAUUGGGACUGAGACACGGCCCAAACUCCUACGGGAGGCUGCAGUAGGGAAUCUUCCACAAUGGGCGAAAGCCUGAUGGAGCAACGCCGCGUGUGUGAUGAAGGCUUUAGGGUCGUAAAGCACUGUUGUAUGGGAAGAAAUGCUAGAAUAGGGAAUGAUUCUAGUUCGACGGUACCAUACCAGAAAGGGACGGCUAAAUACGUGCCAGCAGCCGCCGCAG